rnacentral:rRNA from 1 species
GAUGAACGCUAGCGGGAGGCCUAACACAUGCAAGCCGAGCGGUAUUUGUUCUUCGGAACAGAGAGAGCGGCGCACGGGUGCGGAACACGUGUGCAACCUGCCUUUAUCUGUGGGAUAGCCUUUCGAAAGGAAGAUUAAUACCCCAUACUAUAUUUAUUUGCAUCCUUUUAUAUUGAAAACUCCGGUGGAUAGUGAUGUGCACGCGCAAGAUUAGAUAGUUGGGGAGGUAACUGCUCACCGAGUCAAUGAUCUUUAGGGGGCCUGAGAGGGUGAGCCACCACGGUGGUACUGAAACACGGACAAGACUCCGACGGGAGGAAGUAGUGAGGAAUACUGGAUGAUGGGUUGGCGCAUGAUCCAGCCACGCCGGGUGAAGGAAGACGGCCGUAUGGGAUGUAAACUUCUUUUGGAUAGGGAAAAAGUGAAACUCGUGAGAGUAGCUGAAGGUACAAUACGAAUAAGAACCGGCUAAAUCCGUG